rnacentral:rRNA from 1 species
UGGGGAAUCUUGCACAAUGGGCGAAAGCCUGAUGCAGCAACGCCGCGUGAGCGAAGAAGGCCUUUGGGUCGUAAAGCUCUGUCCUAAGGGAAGAAGGAAGUGACGGUACCUUAGGAGGAAGCCCCGGCUAACUACGUGCCAGCAGCCGCGGUAAUACGUAGGGGGCAAGCGUUAUCCGGAAUUAUUGGGCGUAAAGAGUACGUAGGCGGUUCUUUAAGCGUAGGGUCUAAGGCGAUGGCUUAACCAUCGUUCGCCCUGUGAACUGGAGGACUUGAGUAUCGGAGAGGAAAGCGGAAUUCCUAG